GACGUAGGGGGCAAGCGUUAUUCGGAAUCAUUGGGCGUAAAGCGCUCGUAGGCGGGACGGGAAGUCCGUGAAGAAAGACCUGGGCUCAACUCAGGGACCGGCACGGAUACUCUCGUUCUUGAGGCAAUCAGAGGGUGAUGGAAUUCCCGGUGUAGCGGUGAAAUGCGUAGAUAUCAGGAGGAACACCAGUGGCGAAGGCGAUCACCUGGGGUUGUUCUGACGCUGAGGAGCGAAAGCUAGGGGAGCAAACGGG
rnacentral:rRNA from 1 species